UUUUACUUUGGUCAUUAAACUUUUUUUUUGCAAUCAAAUUUUCAAAUCUAAUCUCUUAGGGUGCGUUUGGUUCGCGCUAUCUUUUAAAGAUUCCUAUUAUCCAAUGGGAAUAAAAAAAUAUGACGGUGUUUGGCUAAACGCACUAAGUAAUCUAGUUGGUAAUAUUGGAUUCACUUCGGAAUAAGAUUUACCCCAAAGUACUAAUCUCAUUCCUUUGAGGGAGGGUGGGUAUCCUCAUAUUAAUGGAUUGGGGUAAUCAUAAUAUGUCUAAUCUUUUUCUUUCUUCCUACCUGUAAGGACUGAGAUUUUUGACAGUGCGACUAAACUCUCUGUUGAUGAUGUUUAUGUGUGUAAUUUAAUUAUAUAAGCACUCGUCAAGUUUCAGGAGAAAAUGAGCUUAAACGGAGAAGUUACGCGAUUAUUAGUUUUCACUUAAGUGAAUAGUAACUCCGGUUUUCCGAAGAGGCCACGGAGUAGAGUUGGCUUCUGGUGCGUAUCGGACUCCGUUCAUAGCAGUCCAAUAGCUCAUUUCGAAGGAUUCAGCUAUUCUGGAACUACUAGCGCUGACAGAUUUUGAGUUUGAUGCACGAAUUUCGAGAAAAUCCGAAAAUACGUGUUUUAUAUGUAUGUAUGUGUUAUUCCUUCUAUUGGAAAGAAAGUUUGGAUUUUGUCGUGAAUCCGUGGUCGAUCGUGGUGAAACAAAAUCGUAGCUUUGUUGUCUCCGAAGUGCUGAUCGCACUGGUAAAAUCCGUUCGCAAAUCUGACGGACGGAUCUACG
rnacentral:lncRNA from 1 species